GAUGAACGCUGGCGGCGUGCCUAAUACAUGCAAGUCGAGCGAACAGACGAGGAGCUUGCUCCUCUGACGUUAGCGGCGGACGGGUGAGUAACACGUGGAUAACCUACCUAUAAGACUGGGAUAACUUCGGGAAACCGGAGCUAAUACCGGAUAAUAUAUUGAACCGCAUGGUUCAAUAGUGAAAGACGGUUUUGCUGUCACUUAUAGAUGGAUCCGCGCCGCAUUAGCUAGUUGGUAAGGUAACGGCUUACCAAGGCAACGAUGCGUAGCCAACCUGAGAGGGUGAUCGGCCACACUGGAACUGAGACACGGUCCAGACUCCUACGGGAGGCAGCAGUAGGGAAUCUUCCGCAAUGGGCGAAAGCCUGACGGAGCAACGCCGCGUGAGUGAUGAAGGUCUUCGGAUCGUAAAACUCUGUUAUUAGGGAAGAACAAAUGUGUAAGUAACUAUGCACGUCUUGACGGUACCUAAUCAGAAAGCCACGGCUAACUACGUG
rnacentral:rRNA from 1 species